AGAGUGGGCGGGGACAGAGUCAGACCGGGAGGAGGAGAGGCUCAAACAUGGCCGAGAAUCGCCCGGAGUGACAGCGGCCCCGAGCGGCAAAACAACUGUGGCUGAUAGAGGGCGAGGCAGGAAGUAAUGUCAAAGCAGGCAACGUAGCCAUUUUCCUCCUUACAAAAUGGUUCCUAGAUGUCUCUUCAUAUCUAUGGAUGUACACCACAUACGCAGAGGGACAACAGGCAGAGCAGAUCGUCCGGCAACUGGUGCUAUAGACUGUAUCCUUCGUGUUUCCGUCGAUACCAGAUUUGGGGAGAGACAAGUGGGAGAGUCGUGUGAGAUGAUAGCUGCUGAGAGAAGGAGUCACUACCGAGAGAGGGAGAGCAGAAGGAAACGAGAAAGAGAAGUCCUAUCAGCACAUCAUCACUAACCGGGUAAUAUAGUUCUAUUGGAUACUACUGGGUCAUUCAACAACAACGGCAACAACUUCGAUUUAUAUAGCGCCCUCCACGCCGUACGGCGUCACAGAGCACUUUCAUAUCUGACUUAGAGUGUCAUCCAUUCUGAUGUUGUACUGUUUUUUUUAACCAUCGUAUUAACGUGUAUGUCUUGAUAACUGUUAAUCAAACCAUAUCCGAACAUCAUAAAUCAAGUGAAUAUGAUGUGCAUAGUUCGUUAAAUAAAACCAUAUACUCUCAUGUUAAUUAUGUUAUGCUAUGCUUCAUACUCGAGCGAGUUGAAUGUGACGAACGAAUCAUCUAUCUAAUACUAAAACGAGUGUGUAUACCGUAACUACCUAUGGGAUUUUUACCGACUAAAAACACUAGCUUUUUUUUUACUGAACAAUACUUAGUGAUAACACUGUCAUUUUAAAUUAAAAAGAAGUAAGCUAUA